UGUAUCUGAAGUCUGACGGGGAUGAGAACCUCCGGGGGCAAGAGGUUCGACUCGAGCGAAGCGAGAGAACGUUGCGUCAGCAACGGCCCGCAGGGCGAGCCACGCAGUGGCGAGUCAUCCUCUAUCACCGACCA
rnacentral:sRNA from 5 species